GAGAUUAAUGAUGGGUUCUGUACGUCCUCCCCCGUCGAGGCCGGCCCUUUUGUAUAAGAGGGCUGGCGUGAUCUUCUGUUACGAUUCAGCGAGGGAAGUAAGUCUUUUGUUCCGAUUCGGCAACGGAAACGGAUCGAUAAUCUACGAUGAGUAAUCGAUGUGGUGGACUUGUGUAAUAUACGGGAGCUUAGCGUCUUUUUGGCAAAAACGUUCAAUCCCUAUAUGUCCAUCUCUCUUCUCUCGCGCUCCCAACGACGCCGCCGCGGCGCCGCCUCCUCUUCCACCCCGCCAUGGCCGCCGCCUCCGCCUCCUCUUCCAUGUCCCCGCUGGUGCCGCUCCUCUCCAUCUGCACCACUUUGGCACGCCUCCCUCCAUGACCCCAGUGAGAUCACCGCGAACCCUCUCCUUCCACGCGCCGGCGAGCCGCCAUCUCCUCCUCGUCGUCGCUGGAUGGGGCCGAGGAUCUCGAUGACGGGGCGAGGAACACGGUGACCGCGUGCGGAGAUUGGGGAGCAGCUCUCCGGCAGCGACGAGCUCCGCCGCCGGCGUCGCCCCUCCCCUUAAGCUUGGUGGCGGCACGGCGACAGAACUCCUCGAGCUGGCUGCAGCGGCAGCGCAGGUUCGGCCAACCGAUGCCCCCUUCUCCUUGUCGCUGGAUGGGGGUGAGGAGGUCGAUGGUGGCGCGCAGGUGGGUAGGAGCUGGGCGGCAGCUACGAGCUCCGACAACGGCGAGGCGCUCUCCUCCUCCCUUCAAUAUUGUUGCAAUCAAGGAUGUAUGUGAGGAUGGCCGAGCGGUGCACAUUGUGAUGGAGCUCUUCAUUGUUGGUGAGCUCUUGGACAAGAUUCAGGAGGAGGGGCAUUAUAACGAGCGAAAGGCUGCAGAGAUUAAAGACGAUGGUCUGUCAAUUAAGGCGAUAGACAUCCGUAGGCUGCAGAGAUUAAAGACGAUGGUCUGUCAAUUAAGGCGAUAGACAUCCGUGUUCUUCAAACCAGGUCAGGUUUCACCGAGUUGAUUGGGAGUCCAUAUUAUGUUGCUCCCGAGGUACUGCACAGAUAUGUUAUAGACCAGAAUCUUAGGUACUGCACUUAUGGACCAAAAUCUGAUGUGUGGUCAGCUACAGUGGUACUUAACGUUUUGAUGAGUGGAGUGCCACCAUUUUGGGCAGAGACACAACAAGGAAAAUAUUUGAUGCAGUUCUGAAGGGUCUCAUUGAUUUUCAAUCAGUUCUAAAGAUAUCUGACAAUGAGAAGUAUCAUAUAGGGAAAAUGCUCUCUCAAUAUUCUUCAGAGCAUUUGAACUUUGAAGGGCCAUGAAGUGCUAACUGCUAAGCUGAAGUUAGUGAAGAUAGAUCCAAAGCCUAUAAUGCUGCUGAUCUUGGAGAGGUGAGAGAAAGUGAAGGAUUUUUCUUUCUGAAUGGCUUCCAGGUUGCUCUUGAGUUUCUCUGCAAAGAGGAUCGCUAUAAUGUUAUUGAUGUUAAGGAAGUUGUGCUUAGUGUUAUUGAGAGCACACCAGUUCUCCACCUGAUUGAUCCAAAACGGAUCAAGUUCCUGGCAGAAAACCUUGCCGGCAAAGAAAGUUAGUCUGGGACAUGCUGAUUUGCUAUCAUGUUAAAUAUAUGUAUUUAUUGUGCAAAAAGCUAUAUGCAUUUCUCAAAGUGCAUAAUCUAGCUUUUUUCUUUUCUGACGUAAA